rnacentral:lncRNA from 1 species
CGUCACGUCACGUGCGUGACGGUGUUUACAGCAGCCGGCGGCGGUUGCUUGGCAACCGGGUAGGGCCCGAUCGGGGCUCCAGUCGCGGCUGAGGCUGCGGCCUCUUUGUUCCGGGCCCUUCUCGUCCCUCGUCCGGGGCUCUCCUCAUCCUCGGAGGAGAUGAGGGGCCGGCCGCAGAGGUAUUUGCAAUUGUAGAAUAAAUGGUGAAGCAAGAACCCCUUCCAAAGCAGGCCUUGAGUAUUUUGGACUUGAGUUGCAGCUGAAGUGGAAACUUUUGGAAACCUUGCCAUUAAUGUCAAUGGGAACGAGGUGGGUUGUAUUUAUGGAAUAAAGACAUGAUGUCGGCUGGUAGUGGUGCGAUGUAUGUGAAUAAAAA